GGGCGUCUAGCUCAGUUGGUUAGAGCAUCUGCUCGACACGCAGAAGGUCAAAGGUUCGAAUCCUUUGGCGCCCA
rnacentral:tRNA from 1 species